rfam:Rhodospirillum photometricum DSM 122 draft genome sequence
UAUCAAGCAAGAGAAGGGCAUCUGGUGGAUGCCUAGGCGUCAAGAGGCGAUGAAGGACGUGGCACUCUGCGAUAAGCCAUGGRGAGCCGAGAGCAGGCUUUGAUCCGUGGAUUUCCGAAUGGGGCAACCCACCCCUUUGGGGUAUCCAUUUCUGAAUUCAUAGGAAAUGGAGGCGAACCCGGUGAACUGAAACAUCUCAGUAACCGGAGGAAAGGACAUCAACCGAGACUCCGUUAGUAGUGGCGAGCGAACGCGGACUAGCCCAGUGACUUGAAGUUUCUAACCAGAACGGCAUGGAAAGGCCGGCCAUAGCGGGUGACAGCCCCGUAUGGGUGUUGAACCUUUAAGUCCUUGAGUAGGGCGGGGCACGUGAAACCCUGUCUGAACAUGGGGGGACCACCCUCCAAGGCUAAGUACUCCUUGACGACCGAUAGUGAACCAGUACCGUGAGGGAAAGGUGAAAAGCACCCCGAUGAGGGGAGUGAAACAGUUCCUGAAACCGGAUGCCUACAAGCAGUCGGAGCUCCUUCGGGGGUGACGGCGUACCUUUUGUAUAAUGGGUCAGCGACUUAAUCUGGCGAGCAAGCUUAAGCCGAUAGGUGGAGGCGCAGCGAAAGCGAGUCUUAAGAGGGCGUCGAGUUCGUCGGAUUAGACCCGAAACCGGGUGAUCUAGCCAUGGGCAGGUUGAAGGUGGAGUAACACCCACUGGAGGACCGAACCCACGUCUGUUGAAAAAGACGGGGAUGACCUGUGGCUAGGGGUGAAAGGCCAAUCAAACUCGGAAAUAGCUGGUUCUCCGCGAAAGCUAUUUAGGUAGCGCGUCGGAUGAUGACCUGCGGGGGUAGAGCACUGGAUGGGCUAGGGGGCCGCGAGGCUUACCAAACCUAACCAAACUCCGAAUACCGCAGAGUUUAAUCCGGCAGACAGACUUAGGGUGCUAACGUCCUAGGUCAAAAGGGAAACAACCCAGACCACCAGCUAAGGUCCCCAAGUCACGGCUAAGUGGGAAAGGAUGUGGGACGGCCAUAACAACCAGGAGGUUGGCUUAGAAGCAGCCAUCCUUUAAAGAAAGCGUAACAGCUCACUGGUCUAAUAGCUAUCCUGCGCCGAAGAUGUACCGGGGCUCAAGCCGUGCACCGAAGCUGUGGAUUUCAUCGAUAAGAUGAAGUGGUAGCGGAGCGUUCCGUACGCCUGUGAAGGUGGUCCGUGAGGACUGCUGGAGGUAUCGGAAGUGAGAAUGCUGACAUGAGUAGCGAAAAGAAGUGUGAGAAACACUUCCGCCGAAAGCCCAAGGGUUCCUGCGCAAGGUUAAUCCGCGCAGGGUGAGCCGGUCCCUAAGCCGAGGGCGAAAGCCGUAGGCGAUGGCAAUCAGGUUAAUAGUCCUGAGCUCGUGGAGGGUGACGCCUUCUGGACGUUGUCUGGUCUUAUCGGAUUGAUCAGGCCGCCAAGGAAGGCCAGGAAAUAGCCCCACGUAUGAACCGUACCCCAAACCGACACAGGUGGGCUGGUAGAGUAUACCAAGGCGCUUGAGAGAAUGGUGUUGAAGGAACUAGGCAAAAUGCCCCCGUAACUUCGGGAGAAGGGGGCCCUCGUCUUGGGCAACCAGGGCGAGGGGGCACAGACCAGGGGGUGGCGACUGUUUACUAAAAACACAGGGCUCUGCGAAGUCGCAAGACGACGUAUAGGGUCUGACGCCUGCCCGGUGCCGGAAGGUUAAGAGGAGAGGUUAACGCUUUGAAUCGAAGCCCCGGUAAACGGCGGCCGUAACUAUAACGGUCCUAAGGUAGCGAAAUUCCUUGUCGGGUAAGUUCCGACCUGCACGAAUGGCGUAACGACUUCCCCGCUGUCUCCAACACCAACUCAGCGAAAUUGAAUUCUCCGUGAAGAUGCGGAGUUCCCACGGCCAGACGGAAAGACCCCAUGAACCUUUACUACAACUUCGCAGUGGCAUUAGGCGAUGGAUGUGUAGGAUAGGCGGGAGGCUUUGAAGCGAAGGCGCCAGCUUUCGUGGAGCCACCCUUGAAAUACCGCCCUUCCGUCUCCUGAUGUCUAACCGCGGCCCGUGAUCCGGGUCCGGGACCCUGCGUGGUGGGUAGUUUGACUGGGGCGGUCGCCUCCUAAAGAGUAACGGAGGCGCGCGAUGGUGGGCUCAGGCCGGUCGGAAAUCGGCUGACGAGUGCAAUGGCAAAAGCCCGCCUGACUGCGAGAGCGACGGUUCGAGCAGAGUCGAAAGACGGUCAUAGUGAUCCGGUGGUCCCGCGUGGAAGGGCCAUCGCUCAACGGAUAAAAGGUACUCUGGGGAUAACAGGCUGAUACUGCCCAAGAGUCCACAUCGACGGCAGUGUUUGGCACCUCGAUGUCGGCUCAUCACAUCCUGGGGCUGGAGCAGGUCCCAAGGGUUCGGCUGUUCGCCGAUUAAAGUGGUACGUGAGCUGGGUUUAGAACGUCGUGAGACAGUUCGGUCCCUAUCUACCGUGGGUGUAGGAAACUUGAGAGGAGCUGUCCCUAGUACGAGAGGACCGGGAUGGACAUCCCUCUGGUGUACCAGUUGUCACGCCCGUGGCAUCGCUGGGUAGCUAAGGAUGGACAGGAUAACCGCUGAAAGCAUCUAAGCGGGAAGCCUCCCUCGAAACCAGGUUUCCCUAUCAGGACCGUGGUAGACCACCACGUUGAUAGGCCGGGUGUGGAAGCGCAGUAAUGCGUGAAGCUAACCGGUACUAAUCGUCCGAUCGGCUUGAUAAA